UCUGAACGGGAUACUCUCCGGUUGCAUUGGACUGGGGAGAUGAUUGUUUUCCAACUUCUUUCCUACAUGUCACUUUUAAAAAAAUUAAAAUUAAAAUUAAAAACGAUGAAAACCUAGAAGCAUCUCUUAAAUUAAAAAACCGUAAGAGCCCCUCUCCCGCUCUCCCUUCCUCGCUCACCCUCUCUCUCACUCCGGCCACCGGCGAACUCCGUCGCUCCUGUCUCUAUCACUUUGGCGCAAGGGUUCCGUUCACCGGCAAGAAGAACGGGCCUUGCUCUCCCUCCCUCGCUCCUGUCUCUCUCUCACUCCGGCGCAAUCAUUCCCUGCCACGCGACGCAAAAAAGAACGAAACCCUCUCCCUCUCACACUCUCCCUCACUCGCUCCUGUCUCUCUCACUCCGGAGAAGGAUCUCCGGCCACGCAACCUGAAAAUCAGGUGGGCUUUGGUCAUCUCGCUCAGAUCUGGGCGUCGGCGAAAGAUCUCACGCAAAAAUCUCCACCUCCGGGAAGGUUCUCUCUCCUCCACCGACUUUAGAAGAAAGAUUGCUUCAGUCCAACAUGAUCGCCAUUGUUAGGACUUCUAUAACUUUGACAAUGAUAGAAAACCUGAGCAUUUCAAGCUAGGUCAAAUAUGGGCAGCUCAAUAUAGAGCAAAUUUAAGUAGCUUUCAGUAUGCUCGAGUUGAUCGCAAUUCUGCAGAAGCAGUUCUCUUUACAUGGUUAAAGCCAAACCCUGUCAGUAUUGGCGAGAAAAGAUGGUGUGAUACAGGCUUACCUGUUGCUUGUGGGUCAUUUGAUUUGGAUCCUAAGUUGAAUAGUGAGGAGAGUUGGCCAAUGGUUCCAUCCUACAAAUGUUCUUGGGAUCAUAGUGGGACAGAUGAAGAAUUUGAAAUUUACCCAAGAGAAUGUGAGAUUUUGGCACUAUAUAAGGAUUGGAACCUUGAUGAGUGGGUCUAUAAUCCUGAUUUUGUGAAAGCAUGCAAAUUUCAGUUGGUUGAAAUCAGACAUUUUUCAAAAUAUUUAGGUUCAUAUGGUGCAUGUUUGGUAAAGGUAGACGGUUUUAGAAACAUUUUUGAGAGACAAACAAUUGGAGGGAGUUCUGUCACUCUCCGCAUCCCUCCAGCAAAUCCAUACAUAUUCUCUCAUAAUGUCCUAGCAUAUAGGUUUAAGGGUGGAGAAAUUGAUAAAGUUGUUGAAGGGAUGCUUGAGUUGGACCAGUUGGCUUUACCUAAAAUUAUGAUUCAGGAGCAUGACUCCCCAAAAGCACCAAAGAAUUGGAAUGCUGGUAGUUUUUUAGCCAUAAUCCAUUGUGAGGGCAUCUUUCCUUGAUGUCAUAUCUAGAGGAGCAACUCCUGAAGCCUAGUUGGUCUUCAAAUGAUUUUGCCAUUGGUCAGGUAUGGGCUUUGUACAAUGGAAAAGAUUUUUUGCCUAGGCAAUACACCAUAAUAGAUAAUUUGAUUUCUGAGAGCCAAGUAUGUGUGACUUUCUUAGAAGCUCUACCUACUUUUGACAAUAGGAUUGCUUGGAAGAAAGAAAAGCUACCAAUUGUAUCCAGCAUGUCUGAGGUCAGUGGAACUAGUGUCAACCUUGAAAUGUCACAGUUCUCAUGUUUAGUCAACAGCCAAAAAAGCAAUGGUCUGCCACUCUACAAAAUUUACCCGCAAAAAGGUGAGAUUUGGGCUUUAUACAAGAACUGGAAUAGCAAAUGGAAGCGCUCUGAUUAUGAAAAUUACCAAUGCCAGGUUGUCCAAAUUCUAUCAGACUUGUGUGAGGGGAUGUGAUAACAGUAGCUAGGCUGACAGAGGUGAAGGGUUGGCUGACUUUCUUUCAUAGGCAACAAGUUGAUGGGUUUGAUUUGAUUCAUGUAGUUUCCACCAAAGAGAUGUUUAGUUUCUCUCAUCAAAUCCCUGCUUUCCGUGUGCCUGGAAUUGGGAGAUAUCGCAUUCCUGAAAGCUCUUGGCAUUUGGAACCAAAUGCUCUACCUCCCAAGCGCAAGAACUGAACAAUGUUCCAAAAUUCAGGGGGAAAAAAAGUUGUAAAAAAAUCUCAAUACAUGUCAAGGCUUUAAAUACAGUUGCAAGAAUUCCUCAAAUGUGAAUCUAGUAUAACCAGACUGGACGAUAAUUCAUCGCCAUAGCCUACUUAUGAAGCCCUUCUUGUCUUUCUUCAUCCUAUUCUCAAGAGAUGGGAAAUCGAUAUAAUUGAAGGCAAGGUCAAGAACAAUCUGAUUGCGAGGGAUUGCUUGGAAGGCAGGAGGGAAGACUUCAAUGUGUGAAACAACUUUGACAUUUGAAUCACCAACUGCUGGCUCAUAACUGUCCAAUUUCUCAAGAAGGAGAACUAUGACAUUUCAAGGUUGACACUAGUUCCACUGAUCUCAAACAUCCUGGAUACAACGGGUAACUUUUCAUUCUUCCAAGCAAUCUCAUGGUCAAAAGUAGGUAGAGCUUCUAAGAAAGUCACACAUACCUGGCUCUCAGAAAUUAAAUUAUCUAUUCUAGUGUAUUGCCUAGGCAAAAAAAUCUUUUUCACUGACCAGGACCCAUAUCUUUUUCACUGUAUAGGACCCAUAUCUGACCAAGUGGGCUUUGGGAGUUGCUCCUCUGGAUAUGACUUCAAGGAAGGAUGCCCUCCCAAUAGAUUAUGGCUAAAAAAACUGUCAGCAUUCUAAUUCUUUGGUGCUUUUGGGGAGUCAAUCUCCUGAAUCAUAAUUUCAGGUAAAGCCAACUAGUCCAGCUCAAACAUCCCUUUAACAACUUUAAUAAUUUCUCCACCCUUAAACUUAUAUGCUGGGACAUUAUGAGGGAAUAUGUACAGAUUUGCUAGAGGGAUGCAGAGAGUGAGAGGACUCCCUCCAAUUGUUUCUCUCUAAAAUGUUUCUAAAACCGUCUUCCUUUACCAAACAUGCACCAUAUGAACCUAAAUAUUUUGAAAAAUGUAUGAUUUCAACCAAUUGAAAUUUGCAUCCUUUCACAGAAUCAGGAUUAUAGACCCACUCAUCAAGGUUCCAAUCCUUAUACAGUGCCCAAAUCUCACAUUCUCUUGGGUAAAUUUUAAAUUCAUCAUCUGUCCUACCAUGAUCCCAAGAACAUUUGUAGGAUGGAAUCAUUGGCCAGCUCUCCUCACUAUUCAACUCUGGAUUCAAAUCAAAUGACCCACAAGCAACAGGUAAGCCUGCAUCACACCAUCUUUUCUCGCCAAUACUAAUAGGGUUUGGCUUUAAUCAUGUAAAGAGAAUUGCGAUCGACUUGAUCAUACCAAAAGUUACUUAAAUUUGCUCUAUAUUGAGUUGCCCAUAUCUGACUUGGCUUGAAAUGCUCAGAUUUUUU